UGAAAAUAUCUUAAAGAUGUGUGGGUUUUGGGUAAGAGAACUUCCAAAAACUACAGAAGGCAGAAACAUUUCUAAAUACAACUGUCGAUAUUAGUUGGCAGGGGUCUUCAACAUUGUGUUUUGAUGCAUUUCUGAUACCUUUUAAUACUUAAGCCGAAAUCGCACGGAAAAGACGCCAUCAACGGAGUCAAAAUUUGCGCAUGAGAGUAGAGCAUCAAUUCAGAUAGUUAAGUUAGCAUACACUACGCAGUCUGUCACUCGAAUCUAUAAUAAACAGUUGUAUUUGUUAUGUUCGCUAUGUUGCCCUUGUGAAUUAUUGUUGCGUGUUCCUUUUGUCUCACCUUAUAUGUCCUACAGGAGCCACCGUACCUGCCUCCUGUUACGUUGCCUCAAGAAUGUGAGGAGAGUUGUAGCUAAAACACCCUAUCAGUUUAUAAAGAAUUUAGCUAGUCUCAUUCCUUCUACAUACACAGUAUUCAAUCUUGAACGGAGUUCUUUGCGUUUCCCAGCUAUAGCCAGUCUAGGCUAUAUGCCUGUGCUCGAAAUCAACCAAGGAGAGGACACCAAGAGGCUGUAUCCAAGAGGCAGAAGUGAUAAUGGUCCAACGUGUUCACUAGAGGUGGGGGGGCUUUGGACACUGAGCCUUGCUUUUCAACUAGCCAGCGAGCUCUCCCAACAAAUCGUGACACUUGUGAAAUGGAAAACCAUCAAACACGGGGAGCUCCAAGAUCUUCUUGCUAGACAAAACAUGACUUAUUCGGAAUGUGUCAGAGACAUGUAUCGGUGUCAAAACCUUCCAAUUGGAGAUAUGGUUAAGAACUACUUCAAAACAGCUUGAAGACUUUCUUUCACAUGAGCAUGUCAGCUCGUGGUAAUGAGAGGUCGUGAGAGCUGAAAAAUGGGAGCAUCCUGAGGGAUUUUUACAAGAAAAUCUAAAAUUCAACAAAAGAAACAUGUGAGAGCACCAUAAAAUAUUAAAUUUUGUUGAAGAUAUGAAUUAUGCCACUGUAAGUUGUAUAUGUUUGUUAUUUCUCCGGGUUGCAAAUAAUUGACAUGUAAGCUAUAAUAUGUCAAUAAAGAGACAAACACACCUUA